CACUGUUGCUACAGCAGAAUUGCUAACGACAUGGUACUGUUUAACACCAUUUGUCCACUGUGACUUCACCCCGUCGGCGCGCAGACCACCCACCGCCACGAGGAGGCGAUCGAGGCCGAUCAAGCGCCGCGCGCGAAAUUCGACGGGAGAUCGAUCACCGGAGGCCUAGAGCGAAAUGUUCAAGUUCCUCAAGGAUGUGGUCGCGGGAUCCGGAUCGGGCCUCAAGGACUUCCCCUAAUACCGUCGGCGAGCCCUACGCCUCCGCCUGGGGCUCAUGGACGCACCACCGCGGAUGAUGGAUCGCCUGUGUCAAUUUUCUCUCUGUCAGGGAGCAAUCCUCAGGACAGGCACUUGGUUGCUGGUCGCAAUGGUGUUAAGAGAUUACAAACAGUGAGGCAUCCGAAUAUCUUGUCCUUCCUUCACAGUACUGAAGCAGAAGUUCCUGAUGGACCUGCCAUGGAACACACGAUUUAUAUUGUAACAGAGCCAGUUGUGCCACUUUGGGAAAAGCUUAAGCAACUGAACCUCGGUGGCACACAGAGGUACCAUCAACUUCUUGUUUAAGGCCUUAGUUUCUUGAUGAUCCGUGUUUUUUCAGUGGCACGUAUGUUAUAAGAGUUUUGUGUGUGGUGUGAUAUUGUAUGGUUUACUCUUUCUUUUUAAUGAAAUGAUACGUAACUCUCCUGCGUAUUCGAGGAAAAAAAAAACUUCUUGUCUUUUUGUGUAAGCAAGAUUCUGUAAUUUCUGGUAUUUUUUUUAAUAGAUUUUGACUCGGUGCUGUAGUCCGUUUUCUGGAUCAUUGAUUUUUAUGCUCGCUACGACUAAUAAAUAGUGUUGCAGAGAUGAGUACUUUGCAU